UAGGGAAUCUUCGGCAAUGGACGAAAGUCUGACCGAGCAACGCCGCGUGAGUGAAGAAGGUUUUCGGAUCGUAAAACUCUGUUGUUAGAGAAGAACAAGGACGUUAGUAACUGAACGUCCCCUGACGGUAUCUAACCAGAAAGCCACGGCUAACUACGAGCCAGCAGCCGCGGUAAUACGUAGGUGGCAAGCGUUGUCCGGAUUUAUUGGGCGUAAAGCGAGCGCAGGCGGUUUCUUAAGUCUGAUGUGAAAGCCCCCGGCUCAACCGGGGAGGGUCAUUGGGAACUGGGAGACUUGAGUGCAGAAGAGGGGAGUGGAAUUGCAUGUGUAGCGGUGAAAUGCGUAGAUAUAUGGAGGAACACCAGUGGCGAAGGCGGCUCUCUGGUCUGUAACUGACGCUGAGGCUCGAAAGCGUGGGGAGCAAACAGG
rnacentral:rRNA from 1 species